CGUGAACGCUGGCGGUAGGCCUAACACAUGCAAGUCGAACGGCAGCACAGUAAGAGCUUGCUCUUACGGGUGGCGAGUGGCGGACGGGUGAGGAAUACAUCGGAAUCUACUUUUUCGUGGGGGAUAACGUAGGGAAACUUACGCUAAUACCGCAUACGACCUACGGGUGAAAGCAGGGGAUCUUCGGACCUUGCGCGAUUGAAUGAGCCGAUGUCGGAGUAGCUAGUUGGCGGGGUAAAGGCCCACCAAGGCGACGAUCCGUAGCUGGUCUGAGUGGAUGAUAAGCCACACUGGAACUGAGACACGGUCCAGACUACUACGGGAGGGAGCAGUGGGGAAUAUUAGACAAUGGGGGCAAGCCUGAUCCAGCCAUACCGAGUGGGUGAAGAAGGCCUUCGGGUUGUAAAGCCGUUUUGUUGGGAAAGAAAAGCAGCAGGUUAAUACCCCGCUGUUCUGACGGUACCCAAAGAAUAAGCACCGGCUAACUUCGUG
rnacentral:rRNA from 1 species